GACGAACGCUGGCGGCGUGCUUAACACAUGCAAGUCGAACGGAAAGGCCUGCUUUCCCUUGUGGAUUGCGGGUACUCGAGUGGCGAACGGGUGAGUAACACGUGAGUGAUCUGCCCCCAACUUGGGUAUAAGCCUGGGAAACUGGGUCUAAUUCCCGAUAGGACUGCAGGGUGGUGCCUGUGGUGGAAAACGAUUUUCUAGUGGUUGGGGAUGAGCUCGCGGCCUAUCAGCUUGUUGGUGGGGUAAUGGCCUACCAAGGCGGCGACGGGUAGCCGGCCUGGGAGGGUGGACGGGCACAUUGGGACUGGGAUACGGCCCAGACGCCUACGGGAGGCAGCAGUGGAGAAUAUUGGACCAUGGGCGGAAGCCUGAUGCAGCGACGCCGCGUGGGGGAUGACGGCCUUCGGGUUGUAAACUCCUUUCGACCGCGAGGAAGCCACCUGGUUGGAAGGGUGGUGACGGUAGUGGUAGAAGAAGCACCGGCUAACUACGUG
rnacentral:rRNA from 1 species